CUUCAAAAAGAUAUCCUACUCUGGAAGACAAAGAGGAGGCCACAUCAAGAGAGUCCAAAGAAGAGUCACAGUUAGGUUUGGGGAGAAUUUCAUUCUGCUGCAGUAUUGAUGCCCACUUUUUCACUGUAGCUCUCCCAGACAGCUUCCACACCACUUCUGAGAAUGACAGAAUUUACCCUCAGCCCCCAGGAAGGAACCCCUGUCAAUGUGCACUUUAAGGGCUGCUCUCUGACACAGCAGAAGUCUUCUGGAAUACACAAAAUUAACAUAUUGGUCACUUAACGAAUACAUGUGAAGCAGGUUCUCAAGUAGGUUGAAAGAUUGAUGAGAGCUUUGGAGCAAAACAAAGAAUCAUCCUUAGAACACAAUUCACUUUUCCUUCUAUUGAAUGUGGCCUGCAGAUAAAGUUCCAGAAAGGUCCUUAUUCAUUUUCCUUUCAGAAUGUUCAUAAUAACGGGGCCAGUAAUGUUACUAACUUCUUUAUGUAAAUCCAAUGAAUCUAAGUGACAUUCCAUGGCUCCGAGGAAUAAAUAAACACAAACCACUGUAUUCCAACCACAUAAUCAUAUCUGAAAAUUCAGUUUCAACACCCAGAUUUACAAGGACCCAGCAGAUGCUUUUGUCAAUCAACAAGCAUUUACUGUGUGCCCGUAGGGUGCCUGGGAGUGGAUGAGGCUGCUUUUGUGAGUAAGCUAGCGGCUUCUCUGCUUUGAAAAUAGAAAUUUAAUCACUUGUUCAUCCAAACAUUUCCCUUCAGCUUUUCCAACGCACUUUUUGUGAAUGACAAACAGAAUAGCUCCUGCAAAGGCAGCCUGCAAAUCCCAUCCGGAGGCCCUGAGAGGAAAGAUGACUCAUCUGCACCUGACGUCAAAGCCUCUGUUCCUUUCAGAGGAGGAGGAAGAGAAUGGCAAUGGCCUGGGCAGAGUGACCCAGAUGCCCUCCUGAGUCUGUGUGGGUCACAAUGGCUUCUUCCCCUGCCUGACAACGGGGAUUUCAACCCAAAGAAAGCUGAAAGUGUGAAAACUCCAAUUUCAUUGUCAAAUCGACUGGAAAACUAAAAACAGGAGUUUUUCUUCCUGUCAAGCCAUAGCCAGUCUUUAUUGUGAGUUUUUUUGCCUCUGGAAAAUGUUGAAGGAAUGCAGUCUCUUUCAUAGUGUGUUUGGUAUUGAUUUGUGUUGUAGUUUAGGCUAUUAUAACAAAUACCACCAACAGGAUGGCUUAAAUGACAGACAUUUAUUUCUCACAGUUCUGGAAGCUGGGAAAUCCAAGAUCAAAGUGCCAGCAGAUUCGGUAUCUGACAUGACCCUUCUCCUGGUUUUGCAGAUGGCUGGCUUCUUGCUGUGCCCCCACCAGAUGGGGAGAAGGUGGGGGGAGCUCUAGUCUCUUUCCCUUCUUGUAAGCAUACUAAUCCCACCAUGGGAGCUCCGUCAUCAUGACCUCAUCUAAACCUAAUUUCCUUCCAAGGGCACCCCCUCCAAACACCAUCACCUUGGGGUGUUGGUUCAUAUUGAAAUAUGAAUUUGAGAGGGACACAAACAUGCCAUAAAUAACAAUUUACUUACAACAUAUUAAGCAUGAUUGUUUCCAGUUUGCCUUUUACUUCGUGAUUUCCAAAGACGUUACCAGGUAAUGUACAGGGGGUCUUUCCACUACUUACACACACUUUACUCAAAUAGAGGUUCAAGUGCACCAAGUAACUUCAGGUCACAGUUCAACAAAGCUCUGAUGGUAGUCAAACAGUCAAACAAAUGCUCCUUGGAAACUUUCCGGCUAUGUCACAGUUCAGCCUUCUUUGGUGCUGGUCUUAGGGCCUUCCACCCACAUUUAUCUCAUUGUUUAGCCCCCUGGGCCAUCCCAUCUAUCCCAUAUCCUUCUCUUCUUUCCAGGGAAACUGGAUAUCUAAUUAAUAGAUCAAAGCUAAAUUGCUGAUGAUGACUAACGGAUUACUCGCUCUUCUUCUGAAGUCUCAAUUCAAGUCACUGUCUUCUCCCAUAUCCACGGACCCCUUGAUUCUCUGAAUUUCUAUUUCAUAAAGGUUUUUAUCAUUCCUUUCAGAAUUUUCUAACAUACUAUUAACUUUUCACUGUAUCUUACAUUUUGUUUCGUGGCUCUUGAGAGAGGUAAGCUCACUUUAUCAUCAUCCAAAUCUCUGUUUUGUUCCUUUACUCAGAGCAAUGCUUUGCACUAAAGACUUACCCAAUAAGAAUUUGUGAGUUUGAAUAGAGUUCACCUGAUGGUAACUUCUGGAACUACAGUCUAAAGGCAUAAAUCGAAUUGUAGCAUUUCAGGUAUUAUAAAAGGUGGGUAAGAAAGAUAAUUUGGGGUUAGAAGGACUUUGGGGAUCCCCUAACAUAUCCAUAUAUAUGCUAGGGAUAUGGGAAACUAGCCCUAAUAAAUUUGAUGCUAGUCCUGCCCCAGUUUAAGCCUCAGUAUGACAUCAUCAGCUGAAUUCAUACAAAACUGAUUAGUAACAGGAGGUUCUGUUGUGGCACAGUGGAACAAAUCUUACUAGUAUCCAGGAGGAUGCAUGUUCGAUCCCUGGCCUUGCUCAGUGAGUUGGGCAUCCAGCAUUGCCGUGAGUUGUGGUGUGGGUUGCAGACACAGCUAGGCUCCUACAUGACUAUGGCUGUGGCUGUGGUGUAGACUGGCAGCUGUCGUUCCAAUUUGACCUCUAGCCUGUGAACUUCCAUAUGUUGUGGGUGUGG